rnacentral:rRNA from 1 species
CCGCUGGUCGAGGUGCUGCAUGGCUGUCGUCAGCUCGUGCCGUGAGGUGUUGGGUUAAGUCCCGCAACGAGCGCAACCCUCGUACUUAGUUGCCACCAUUCAGUUGGCACUCUAGGUAGACUGCCGGCGUUAAGCCGGAGGAAGGUGGGGACGACGUCAAGUCAUCAUGGCCCUUAUGCCCAGGGCCACACACGUGCUACAAUGGGCGGCACAAAGGGUCGCGAACCCGCGAGGGGGAGCCAAUCCCAAAAAGCCGUUCUCAGUUCGGAUUGGAGUCUGCAACUCGACUCCAUGAAGUUGGAAUCGCUAGUAAUCGCGGAUCAGCACGCCGCGGUGAAUACGUUCCCGGGCCUU